GUAACGCGUGGGAAUCUACCUUAUAGUGGGGGAUAGCCCGAAGAAAUUCGGAUUAAUACCGCAUAAGCCCUACGGGGGAAAAGGGGCCUCUCCUUGGAAGCUCUUGCUAUUAGAUGAGCCCGCGUAAGAUUAGCUUGUUGGUGGGGUAAUGGCCUACCAAGGCAACGAUCUUUAGCUGGUCUGAGAGGAUGAUCAGCCACACUGGGACUGAGACACGGCCCAGACUCC
rnacentral:rRNA from 1 species